rnacentral:rRNA from 1 species
GACGAACGCUGGCGGCGUGCUUAGCACAUGCAAGUCGAACGAAGUGGCGAACGGGUGAGUAACGCGUAAUCAACCUGCCCUUCAGAGGGGGACAACAGUUGGAAACGACUGCUAAUACCGCAUACUGAAGGAGGGGAUUGCGUCGGAUUAGCUAGUUGGAGGGGUAACGGCCCUACAAGGCGAUGAUCAGUAGCCGGGUUGGGAGGAUUGACGGCUCCAUUGGGAAUGAGACAACGGCCAGACUCCUACGGGAGGCAGCAGUGGGGAAUCUUCCGCAAUGGACGAAAGUCUGACGGAGGAACUCCGCGGGAUGGAUGAAGGCCUUUGGGUUGUAAAGCUCUGUUAAUCGGGACGCGGUACCGGAAUAGAAAGCCACGGCUAACUACGUGCCAGCAGCCGCGGUAAUAC